GACGAACGCUGGCGGCGUGCUUAACACAUGCAAGUCGAACGGAAAGGCCCUGCUUUUGUGGGGUGCUCGAGUGGCGAACGGGUGAGUAACACGUGAGUAACCUGCCCUUGACUUUGGGAUAACUUCAGGAAACUGGGGCUAAUACCGGAUAGGAGCUCCUGCUGCAUGGUGGGGGUUGGAAAGUUUCGGCGGUUGGGGAUGGACUCGCGGCUUAUCAGCUUGUUGGUGGGGUAGUGGCUUACCAAGGCUUUGACGGGUAGCCGGCCUGAGAGGGUGACCAGCCACAUUGGGACUGAGAUACGGCCCAGACUCCUGCGGGAGGCAGAAGUGGGGAAUAUUGCACAAUGGGCGGAAGCCUGAUGCAGCAACGCCGCGUGCGGGAUGACGGCCUUCGGGUUGUAAACCGCGUUCGCCUGUGACGAAGCGUGAGUGACGGUAAUGGGUAAAGAAGCACCGGCUAACUACGUG
rnacentral:rRNA from 1 species